GCCUACAACAUAGCGUUGAUGCACCAGAUCCCAUUAGAACUCCAUAGUUAAGCAUGUUCAGGCUAAAGUAGUACUGGGAUGGGUGACCGCCCGAGAAGUCCUAGUGUUUUAUGUU
rnacentral:rRNA from 1 species